UACGUAGGGUGCAAGCGUUAAUCGGAAUUACUGGGCGUAAAGCGUGCGCAGGCGGCUAUGCAAGACAGAUGUGAAAUCCCCGGGCUCAACCUGGGAACUGCAUUUGUGACUGCAUAGCUAGAGUACGGUAGAGGGGGAUGGAAUUCCGGCGUCUAGCAGUGAAAUGCGUAGAUAUGCGGAGGAACACCGAUGGCGAAGGCAAUCCCCUGGACCUGUACUGACGCUCAUGCACGAAAGCGUGGGGAGCAAACAGG
rnacentral:rRNA from 1 species